CAGCGAGCGAGAUAGCAAUAUCUUGUGUCGGCGACCGGCGCACUGGUGAGUAACACGUAUGCAACCUGCCCUCUACAGGGGGAUAAUCCGGAGAAAUUCGGUCUAAUAUCCCAUAGUCCCUGAGUUUGCAUGAGCUUAGGGGGAAAGUUCCGGCGGUAGAGGAUGGGCAUGCGGCGCAUUAGCUGGUUGGCGGGGUAACGGCCCACCAAGGCGACGAUGCGUAGGGGUUCUGAGAGGAAGGUCCCCCACACUGGUACUGAGACACGGACCAGACUCCUACGGGAGGCAGCAGUGAGGAAUAUUGGUCAAUGGGCGCGAGCCUGAACCAGCCAAGUCGCGUGAGGGACGACGGUCCUACGGAUUGUAAACCUCUUUAGGCGGGGAGUAAUGUGCUCUACGAGUAGAGUAGUGAGAGUACCCGCAGAAUAAGCAUCGGCUAAC
rnacentral:rRNA from 1 species